ACCGUCCUUUCCGUGGGGCGGCGCCACUGUCCGAUGAACGAGCAGUGAGGGCAGCACUGCUGACGCCUCCGCAACACGCCCGCGUCAGCUACAGCUGGGCUUUACUUUGGUGCAACUUUUGGAAAA
rnacentral:ncRNA from 1 species